rnacentral:lncRNA from 1 species
AAGCUUCACACAUUUAUUGUUUUUAACAUUACAUUUGCAAUAUUUUUUUUGUAUUUAUUUUUUCCAUUUAUUUUAUUUCGAUUACGGUUAUUAUAAAUACGCCAUAUUAAUGAUUAAUACAAUGUGAUACUUAUGUAUUUUUAUCCAUUUCCUUUGAAUCUUUUCAUUGCUAAACAUCAGAUUCUAAUUUGUGGAUUCGAU